rnacentral:sRNA from 1 species
UCCGUGUCGACAUGGCCGAGUUCCGAAC